rnacentral:lncRNA from 1 species
AAAAAACAUCAAAAACCACCUAUACGGCGAUACGUGUUCGAUUCUGGAUGGCUUCAUAGCCGUGAUCUGGUGGUCGCCGGCUCGCCGAUCUCUGCUCCCGCGGCGGCGCCAUUGCUAGCGCCCCGUCGGCCGGCACCCUCCUCUCCGCCUCCGCCCCCACGCUCCGAAUCCAUGGAUGGCUACCACCGCACACUCCGCCCCCCGCACUCCAGCCGCCCUCCGCGCUCUUGCCCUUCCCCCCACCGGAGAAGGCGGCAACACUGCAAGCUAGGUAGCAGCGACGACCUUGCUACCGGCUCGCCUCAUCAGCCAUAGCGGCAGCCUCCCGAUCCCCCCAGGGUGAGCAUCCGGUAAGUACCCCGUCUGCAUGUGCCGAUUUCUUUCUGAUCGCUCAAACUUGCAGAUAGAUCUGAACUACCAGUAUACCACUGCUUGAUUAAUGCCGUAUAAAAAGCCAAUUCCGAGUGCGUUGUAGGCAUUAUGGAACGCACAUUUCUCCUUUUACCACAAGGAGUACAUUUUUUUUUUCAUAUACGUUGUGUAAUAAUCCUUAAGUGCGAAGAACUACUUCUCAUGUCCAUCUUUCAUUAGAGCAUCCCUCUUGGAUACAAACAUACAUGCCCAUACGGUAUUUAUCCUUUGCUUAGCUAUGUACAUAUAGUUAAGAGAUAGUAGAUGCAAACAUGCAAGAAGAGGAGAGUGAGAUUUAUUUACGAACUAAUUUCAUUUAUGGCACUUAACUCAUAAAGCUUAUAUACUAUUUUGAUGUUCAAUGAGAAAAAGGGAGUGUGCGCAACUAUUUUCAACCUUUUGUUUCCAUCUCUGUUUCAUUUCCGGAGGAACUUCUUGAACCAACGGGCUGAGUUCUUGGGGUAUCUCUUCAUUCCGUUAUCGUAAUCCACAAAGUUUAUCCCAAACCGAACUGUGUAGCCCUCUGACCACUCAAAGUUGUCAAGCAGAGACCAUGCGAAGUACCCCUUCACAUUUGCUCCAUCCCUGUGAAGGCAUAUGGAAUAACGCACUGUUACCGAGUAGCAUCUUAAGUUGUUUACUGAUAGCUGAGUGUCUGAAUUGAUGUUCUGACCUCAUAGCACUUAGCAGGGCGAGAAGGUGCUUGUGAUAGUAUUCAAUCCUGAUAUCAUCCUUCAGGGCCUCCUUGAGUCGCAUGGUCUUAUUAUUGAUUUCAUCAACACCUUGAGAUGUAUGCAGAAAGAAUCAGUAAUGUUAAAUCACUUCUAAAAGAGGAUAAUACCCUUUUUUUUACAUAGCUAGGAGAAGAAUAUUAAGUCCUAACUCCUAUGUGCACUAUUGUCUAGAUUGAAAAAAAAAUCAAAUCAGAAGGUGUUAUAGUAGUAUUGGUUUGCACACAUGCUGAGAAAGUGAGAAAUUGUAUGAUCCAUAUGUUAGUUGGAACUUACCAUUUUCAGUGAUGUAGAUGGUAGGAUUGCCAUAGUUUUCCUUAAUAUGAAGCAACAAUUCACGCAACCCUUCAGGGUAGAUGUAAAACCAAAACGAAGCAGCCUAAACACAUGUUGUUUAUAGAGUUCAAUCAUGUCACCUGAUCAAUUGAUUUACUAGUAAUUUGUUCUGUGGAUAACAAAGUAGUAGGUCACCUGAGGCCCUAUGGGAAUCCCGUUUCGACUACCUAGCAUAGUUGCGAAAUGUUAGCACAGUGGCAAAAACAAGCUACACAUCCAAACCAAUUAUCAAAUAUUCAUGAUGAGAUAAUGUUGAGCACCCCGGGGUGCCACCCCCAUGUUUGAAAAUGUAUAGUGUUUUUUUUUAUUUUGUCUUCACACACAUUAAACAGAUAUCAUUACCAGACUAAUCAUAGCCAUUAUACUGUAUUGAAGCACUCCACAUUCAUUUCAUGCAUGAAAGGAAAGCUGGGAUGCUCAUGUAACAUGCCAUUUUCAAAUAAAGUCGGCAUGUUUUUCGAGGGAAAAUAAAGUGUGCAAUUGACAAUGCCUCAAAGGCUAUGAUGUGAGCUGACCAAAUUCUAUUUGUUUUUUUAAUAUGUUGUGUCGAGCAGUUGCCAUAUGUUUGUAUUUCAUGGUUCAUAUGCACAAAACAAGUAGACCAGUCCAUGAUAAUGUUGCUCACCAGUAAUCUUAGCAUGGGAAUCAGUAUUAUAGCUGUUGUUAUGGCCAUAUGAUGGAGGAUCAUUAUCAGCAUAGCUUGAAGCGUAGUAGUUGAGUCCAAUAAAAUCGAAUGCACCCUUGACCAUUUCAGAUUGCUCUUUGCUGAACUCUGGCAAGCGAUUUCCAACCAAUUCUCUCAUGCUUAGUGGGUAGUCUCCUCUAAUGAGAGGAUCCAUAAACCUAGAAGGGAUUUCAUAGUUAGAAUAUUCACUCUCAUAAUGAUGAAAUUAUGUGUGAGACAAAGAAUACCAUCCAAGCAUGAAGUCUAGAACACGUCUUGCAGCAUCAUUGCUGGAUUUGGAUUGGGAGAAAGGAACAAACCACUCUGAGUUCAAAAUUAUUCCAAUCCUCCCCUUUUGUAAAGCCUGCAUUUGAUAUGCAUCUUGUUAUUCAUUGUGUGGUGUGAGUGCUGAAGCUGAAACCAAGUCCAUUGAUUUGUAAACAAAAUAAGCACUCAAUAUGCAUGCAUGGUUAGGGUUUUCGUUGUUCCUUAAAACGAUACCGACUACUAAUGCAUAUCUGUUACAUCCAUGUUUAAAUUAUAAGGCCUAGAACAUAUUGUUGUGUAGAAAAUUGCAGAAGUUUUGAAUAUAACUCUAUGCACAUUUCUGUGUAUAUGAUAGGAAUCUGUUUCAUGAUAUGUAGGAUAUAAAAUAGUCCUGCAGUUAACAAAGUAACUAGCUAGCCUUUCAUCCAAGUUACCAGCACAAAUUUUGCAGCUAGCUAUCAUAAACUUUAAUGCUUACCUGCAAAUUUUACAUGUUUGUUGGAUCCAACUUCCUCGUACAACUGUUUUGUUGGAUAUUGAUAUGUGUUUGUAUUUGAAAAUAACUUAACUGGUGAUGUGAAAUUAACUUAAUUGAUGAUGUUUUGCCGAGAUAAGCGGUGAAUGCUUUUGCUUUUUAAUAUUGUUUUCUUUUUUUUUUUCCAUAUCAACUCUAAAGGCCUUUGAUUGUAUUUUAGUAUAUACAUAAUAAAAUAACAUAUCUGAUAUCUUUGACCUAAUCAACAGAUCCAGACCUUUGUAUCAGGGUGCAUCGAGAUUAAGACAUGAUUUUCUGUUUUCAUGUGAGAGUCUAUAGGAUUUCUGUUUUUUUCUUGAGGCUAGAGGGUCUUGCAUAAUAAACAGAUAAAUAUCUCUCUUACCUAUUUUGACCUCUGUACUUAACAUAGUGAUUAAUGGCCAAAUGUUUUUCUUUUCUUGUUAGAAUUCUAGGAUUCCUCUUUUAUCCGUAUUGACUAUGGGGUUCGUUUUCCGAGUUUUACUAUAUUAUAGAUAAUUAUAAGAAAUAACAAUGGAAGAUCCGCUAAUGUCUGUACUGAAAAAACUCUACCACCACCACCAGGCCCCAGCUGAAAUUGAAUGCCAAGCAAUAAAUAAUUUUGGAUUAUGGAACUUAACUUUGCAGAUCUUCGAUUUAAAUUAUUAUCACGGAUGAACGGCGACUGCCUGAUAGCUUCUUCAGUGAACUGAUAUUUCUCUUUAUAAAGCCGAACAGUUUCUGCAUGAGCAAGUAGUUGGUGAUGGCAUGCAGUGUAAGGCUCCCUUCCUGAAUCUCCAACUCUGCAUUUUCCCUUCUCCCAGGAUGAACACCGGCCUGGUGCCAUGGUGCCAGAUGCAUAGCCCAUAGAGCAGAAGUUCCAAGGCUCAUUGAAGGUGAUCCAAUGUUUCACCCGGUCACCAAACUCUUUGAAGCAUAUUUCAGCAUAGUCCUUAUAGUCAUUUCUGCAACAGUUCUUUACAGUCAAUAACGUUAGCACUUUUUUCAUUGCAAGUAACAGUAGCUGAAAAGACUAUCACAAGGGAGCACUAUUGAGGCUGGUGUCAGUGGAAACAGGGGUUAAAUCCUGUCCAAAGCAAAACCCGUCCUGACUCCCUUUCCAAAAAUAGCAGUAAACAAUAUUCGCGACAAAAAUCGGAAAGAGAACUCCAAAAGCUGUUGGCAUUGAAAUUUCGGGUAUUCUAAUUGAUAUGCAUGAUGACGUUGACAAUAUUUUUAACUGAAGUAGGUAGCACGGUCCCUAGUAUUUUGAAGUUAGUGUUUAUUUAACAUGGUCAGCAAAAGGUACUGAAGAAUUGUUGACUUACAUGAUAUUAGGGCUAAGAAAUCCUUUAUAUUUAUCUUCCAGUGCCUGAGGUGUAUCAAAAUGGAAUAGGGUAGCAAAUGGUUGGACCUCUGCAAAUGUAUAAGAUUAUUUUGCAUCUUGAAUAAAGAAAUCUGGUUGUCACAAGUUGCAUCUAGUGACUGAACUUGAAACUAAAUAGUGAAGACUAGACAUGCAUACCUUUUGAUAAUAGUUCAUUGAUCAAAUUGUUGUAGUAGUUGAUGCCUUCUCUGUUGACUCCACCGCUGAGACUUCCAUCUGCCAUGACAGGGAGAUUUUAACCCUGGUGGGAUCACCUUGGAGAUUGAAAAAGAAAUGCAGAAUAUUGUGCUUGAGAACAAAAGAGAAAAUGUCUUUAAAUAAGCUGUCUGUUAGUAAAUCUAUGACAGUGCAUUGUAUCUACUACCUCCAUCCCAAAAUAUUUGGGAUUUAUAUGGGCAAAAUCCCUUAUAUUUUGGGACGGAUGUAUUAUCAUUUUAUUUCUAAAAGAUAUAGUCAUGUACUUGGAAGAAUUCUUGACCACGAGAUGGAAAACCUGUAUGCAUCCAUUCCCAUCUCCUUCAUAAUGCGCACAUCUUCCUGCAAUUUUUUUUGGUGAUCAGGCCCUCAGGCCUCAGGAUGAGUACUAAAUUAGUCAUUUUAAAGAAGAGAAUUAAAGUUUUAAGAGAUUGUGGCAGAGGAAGACUGGCAAACAUGGAGUGUAUAUUUAAUUAAAACCCUUACUCCCUCCAUUCCUAAAUGAUCUUCGCAUUACCAAAAGUAAAAAGUUUCAAUUUGACCUUCGUAUUUCAUUAGGAAGCAGCAGAAAUCAUGGGUAGACGAUAAUGGUGCUUCGUAUUAAGCAGCACUACAUGCAUGCAUUGGCUCUGUGAGAGUUAAGUUGGGAGCUGCUGCAUGCGUGGAAUUAAUGCAUUAUAGCUGAUUGGCUGGUGCAUGCGGCAUGCAAAAUUGAUGAAGCGACAUGCACGGAUAGAUGGGAUAGUAACUGCUCCUUGGUCUUGCUGCUUAGGUGAAAUAUGAAGAUCAUUUAGGAAUGGAGGGAGUACUAAAGUCAAUGCUAGUUGCCAAUACCUUGUAGAGAUGGUAGCUAUUGCAAGCACCAUCCCCGUUGCUCUUGUCGGUGAUUUUGUCUGCCAAAUUAGAGAAUUGUCAAUCCAAAAUAAUGUAAUGACCUUUUAUUUCUGGCCAUUUAUAGUCAGCAUGCCUGGAUACUGAUGUGUGAAGGUGUCCCAGAUGCUUGGUCCUCUGCCACCCUUCGCCGCGGCACCCUCAAACUGCAUCAUGUGUGAAACAGCAGUCAAUUUGUCAGGUUUCAGAUCUGAAACAGAGCACAUCGUGAUGAGAUGAGAAGGAAUCAGGAAACAGUUAAAUUGACUACUGAAUACAGUAUUGGAUCAUGGAAUUUCUCUCUACAUGCAAAUAUGAGCAUUAUUCUUAUUCUUUAGAGAAAUUUCAGCAUUUUUCAGUGCCAUCAUUUUCUGGUUACCUACAUCAAUGAGGUACUCUAGUUGCACAAUUUAUCUUAACCUGUUCCUUUUUCAUGUGUUUCAUUUGUACAUUCUGUUCGUACUUUUGUUUCCCCUUCGAAAAGAACAGUCUGUUCCGACUGUUGUCCUUGCAGAAUUUACUUUCGGUGGCAGUUUUAUGAAAUUCUUCUCGAUUUCUUGUAGGAAGGAUGAGGUUGGAUGCCUGACCUGAUAUGACGACGAGGACGUCCCAAAGAUGAACCCCUUGGGGAAGCUUCUCCGGCUGAUCGGCGGCAGCUCGCCGGCGUCAUUGU